GCCCACAGGGUGCCUCCAGUCAGUGUGGCAAGCCCAAAGAACAACCAUGCAGAACCAGGUUCCAGUCAUCCAGACAGGGCAGAUCCCAGAGCAGAGGAGCAAAACUCUGAGAAUGACGCACGCAGGAUGAAAAGAAGGAAAGUGCAGCACCAAAGGCCUUUAUCCAACUCUAAUUCUUGGCCAAACAGGAGGGAGACAGCAAGAGCAUGGCAAAAAAAAAACAGCACCGACCCCAGGCCCAAAGCAGUGGUGGCCAGGAUAGUGGACAGUGCCCGAUUUGUGCAGGUUCCUUCAGGAUUGAGAUUCUUCCCCAGCAUGCUGCCACUUGUGGAGAGACCUCCCCACCUCACCCAGCUUCUCCCUCCUCAUCAUCAUCUUCGUCCCAGUCUGUACUGUGGGUGUCCUCCCCAGAAAGUUCACCCCCUGUCUCCUGGGUUCCGUGCCCUAUCUGCCAGU